rnacentral:rRNA from 1 species
ACGACUCUCGACAACGGAUAUCUCGGCUCUCGCAUCGAUGAAGAACGUAGCGAAAUGCGAUACUUGGUGUGAAUUGCAGAAUCCCGUGAACCAUCGAGUCUUUGAACGCAAGUUGCGCCCGAAGCCGUCAGGCCAAGGGCACGCCUGCCUGGGCGUCAC